rnacentral:miRNA from 1 species
UGUGUGUGUGUGUGUGUGUGUGUGUGUGUGUGUGUGUGUGGCUCAGCGCCUGUAGUACAGUGGUCACAGCGCCAGCCACAUACUCUG